rnacentral:rRNA from 1 species
AGAAUCAACGCUGGCGGCGUGCCUAACACAUGCAAGUCGCACGAGAAAGGGGAGCAAUCCCUGAGUACAGUGGCGCACGGGUGAGUAACACGUGAAUAAUCUACCUCCGAGUGGGGAAUAACUGAGAGAAAUCUUAGCUAAUACCGCAUAACACUUACGAGUCAAGGCAGCAAUGCGCUUGGAGAGGGAGUUCGCGGCCGAUUAGUUAGUUGGCGGGGUAAUGGCCCACCAAGACGAUGAUCGGUA